rnacentral:rRNA from 1 species
UACGGGGGGGGCAAGCGUUGUUCGGAAUUACUGGGCGUAAAGGGCUCGUAGGUGGCCAACUAAGUCAGACGUGAAAUCCCUCGGCUUAACCGGGGAACUGCGUCUGAUACUGCGUGGCUUGAAUUCGGGAGAGGGAUGCGGAAUUCCAGGUGUAGCGGUGAAAUGCGUAGAUAUCUGGAGGAACACCGGUGGCGAAGGCGGCAUCCUGGACCGAGAUUGACGCUGAGGCGCGAAAGCCAGGGGAGCAAACGGG